rnacentral:rRNA from 1 species
ACGGGGUGCAGCAGGCGCGAAAACUUCGCAAUGUGCGAAAGCGCGACGUGGUUAAUCCGAGUGCCGCCCGCUGAGGGCGGCUUUUCUCAGGUGUAAAUGGUCUGAGGAAUAAGGGGAGGGAAAGCCUGGUGUCAGCCGCCGCGGUAAUACCAGCUCCCCGAGUGGUCGGGACGUUUAUUGGGCCUAAAGCAUCCGUAGCCCGCCCUGUUGGUCCCAGGUUAAAUCCAAUCGCUCAACGAUUGGGCUGCAUGGGAUACCGCAGGGCUAGGAGGCGGGAGAGGCGGACGGUACUCCGCGGGUAGGGGUAAAAUCCACUGAUCCGCGGAAGACCACCAGUGGCGAAGGCGGUCCGCCAGAACGCGCUCGACGGUGAGGGAUGAAAGCUGGGGGAGCAAACCGGAUUAGAUACCCGGGUAGUCCCAGCUGUAAACGAUGCGAGCUAGGUGAUGGAGUGGCUACGUGCCAUUCCAGUGCCGCAGGGAAGCCGUUAAGCUCGCCGCCUGGGGAGUACGGUCGCAAGGCUGAAACUUAAAGGAAUUGGCGGGGGAGCACCACAAGGGGUGAAGCCUGCGGUUCAAUUGGAUUCAACGCCGGG